AUCUGUCAAUGGACAUUCCACCCUGAACACACCAGAUCUCAUGUGAUCUUAGAAGCUAAGCAGGGUCGGGCCUGGUUAGUAAUUGGAUGGG
rnacentral:miRNA from 1 species